GCAUAUCAAUAAGCGGAGGAAAAGAAACCAACCGGGAUUGCCCUAGUAACGGCGAGCGAAGCGGCAAAAGUCCAAAUUUGAAAUCUGGCGUCCUACGGGCGUCCGAGUUGUAAUUUGAAGAUGGUAACUUUGGGUUUGGCUCUUGCAUAAGUUCCUUGGAACAGGACGUCAUAGAGGGUGAGAAUCCCGUUCAUGGUAAGAUGCCCAUUCCUUUGUAAAGUGCCUUCGAAGAGUCGAGUUGUUUGGGAAUGCAGCUCUAAGUGGGUGGUAAAUUCCAUCUAAGACUAAAUAUUGGCGAGAGACCGAUAGCGAACAAGUACAGUGAUGGAAAGAUGAAAAGAACUUUGAAAAGAGAGUGAAAAAGUACGUGAAAUUGUUGAAAGGGAAGGGCUUGAAGUCAGACUUGGUAUUCAGUGAUCAACUGUCUUUCGGGACUGUGCACUCGCUGUUUACUGGGCCAACAUCGGUUUUGGCGGCGAGAUAAAUGCAUUGGAACGUGGCUCUAUCUUCGGAUGGAGUGUUAUAGCCUUUGUAAAUAUCGCCUGCUGGGACCGAGGACUGCGCAUCUGCUAGGAUGUUGGCGUAAUGACUUUAAGCCACCCG
rnacentral:rRNA from 1 species